rnacentral:rRNA from 1 species
AACGCGAAGAACCUUACCUACUCUUGACAUCCAGAGAAUUCGCUAGAGAUAGCUUAGUGCCUUCGGGAACUCUGAGACAGGUGCUGCAUGGCUGUCGUCAGCUCGUGUUGUGAAAUGUUGGGUUAAGUCCCGCAACGAGCGCAACCCUUAUCCUUUGUUGCCAGCGCGUAAUGGUGGGAACUCAAAGGAGACUGCCGGUGAUAAACCGGAGGAAGGUGGGGAUGACGUCAAGUCAUCAUGGCCCUUACGAGUAGGGCUACACACGUGCUACAAUGGCAUAUACAAAGAGAAGCAAACUCGCGAGAGCAAGCGGACCUCAUAAAGUAUGUCGUAGUCCGGAUUGGAGUCUGCAACUCGACUCCAUGAAGUCGGAAUCGCUAGUAAUCGUAGAUCAGAUGCUAUGAC